AGCGAACGCUGGCGGCAGGCCUAACACAUGCAAGUCGAACGAAGUCUUCGGACUUAGUGGCGGACGGGUGAGUAACACGUGGGAACGUGCCUUUAGGUUCGGAAUAACUCAGGGAAACUUGUGCUAAUACCGAAUGUGCCCUUCGGGGGAAAGAUUUAUAGCCUUUAGAACGGCCCGCGUCUGAUUAGCUAGUUGGUGAGGUAAAGGCUCACCAAGGCGACGAUCAGUAGCUGGUCUGAGAGGAUGAUCAGCCACAUUGGGACUGAGACACGGCCCAAACUCCUACGGGAGGCAGCAGUGGGGAAUCUUGCGCAAUGGGCGAAAGCCUGACGCAGCCAUGCCGCGUGAAUGAUGAAGGUCUUAGGAUUGUAAAAUUCUUUCACCGGGGACGAUAAUGACGGUACCCGGAGAAGAAGCCCCGGCUAACUUCAUGCCAGCCGCCGCAGUAACAC
rnacentral:rRNA from 1 species